ACUACCCUCUGCAUAACCUUCAGAAGCUCCAAAUAAAGAAAAGGAGACAGACUGACUGACUGCAAGAGACAGACACUGAACACAUUAACAGAGAAGAAGUUGAUUGCUGAUGCAGCCACAUGAAAAACAUAAACCAACACAGAGAAGGCACAAGAAAUAGUAUGAGACAAAGAAACGAGCAUCCAGUAUUGUGUCUCCAGGAUACCUGAAACCAUGACAACAGCAGGUUACCCUUCCCAGAUGAGAUCUGGAGCUCCAUCUGCUGCUGACAAAGAGGAAGUCCAGGCUGUUUAUUCUCUGUCAUGCUGAGAACAGACUUUGGAAAAUGAAAGCAAGAACCCUUUUGUUAACCAGGCAGUUAUACGCCAUUACAGUCCAGAAAACAUGAGUAGUAGCAGAAAGCUUGGAUGCCUUUAUUCAAUGAAAGAAAAAUAAAAGAUUUGACUGAAGUAUUACAGUAUGCAAACUUUAGUGACUCUUGGUCCUCUUAUUGGCUUUUCUGGAGCUUUCAACAGGAUCUCGUUGUCUUCAUCAACACAUGGAGCUUGUUAUAGCUGGUUCAGUCGUCAUAUGACCAAAGUAUUGAACAUUAAGUGACAAUAGGUGACUGUAUAUUUGGUCAAGAUCAUACACAAUCCCUGUCUCUUUUAAAGAAGAUGAAGACCAUUACAUGCUGUUGAAAGUUCUGGGAAAAGGUAGUGAAUUGACCUUGAUUAUUUUGUUAAACUACCAUUUCUACAGUCGAGAACAAACUCUCAUGCUCAGGAGCUGGCUAGUUAGAAUUUGUAGUCAAUUUUGAAUCAGAUCUAAAACCCCGGCCACUGAGUUAAAUUUGUGAAAGCACAAAUUCAGUAUAUUAAUUAAAAGAAGAAGAAGAAGAAGAAGACAGAUGCCCCUGAGCUAAGUGCUCUCUCUCAGCCUGUAUCAACAUUAAAUGAGUUUUGAAUAAUUUCUGCUUAAGAAGUGCUGGGUUCAAAAUAUAUUGCCUGAUGUAAUGUUUGCAUAUAUUGCAUAUUUCAGCUACCUUUGUCUUCUGGCCUUUGUGUGCUUUUGGAGAUUUCAGCACAUCAGAAACUGUAAUAAAUAUUUUCUGUUUUGCACAAA